CGACCGGCGCACGGUGAGUAACGCGUAUCCAACCUGCCCACCACUUGGGAUAACCUUGCGAAAGUAAGACUAAUACCCAAUGAUAUCUCUAGAAGACAUCUGAAAGAGAUUAAAGAUUUAUCGGUGAUGGAUGGGGAUGCGUCUGAUUAGCUUGUUGGCGGGGUAACGGCCCACCAAGGCAACGAUCAGUAGGGGUUCUGAGAGGAAGGUCCCCCACAUUGGAACUGAGACACGGUCCAA
rnacentral:rRNA from 1 species